AGCGUACACGGUGGAUGCCCUGGCAGUCAGAGGCGAUGAAGGACGUGCAAUCUGCGAUAAGCGUCGGUAAGGUGAUAUGAACCGUUAUAACCGGCGAUUUCCGAAUGGGGAAACCCAGUGUGAUUCGUCACACUAUCAUUAACUGAAUCCAUAGGUUAAUGAGGCGAACCGGGGGAACUGAAACAUCUAAGUACCCCGAGGAAAAGAAAUCAACCGAGAUUCCCCCAGUAGCGGCGAGCGAACGGGGAGCAGCCCAGAGCCUGAAUCAGUGUGUGUGUUAGUGGAAGCGUCUGGAAAGGCGCGCGAUACAGGGUGACAGCCCCGUACACAAAAAAUGCACAUGCUGUGAGCUCGAUGAGUAGGGCGGGACACGUGGUAUCCUGUCUGAAUAUGGGGGGACCAUCCUCCAAGGCUAAAUACUCCUGACUGACCGAUAGUGAACCAGUACCGUGAGGGAAAGGCGAAAGAACCCCGGCGAGGGGAGUGAAAAAGAACCUGAAACCGUGUACGUACGAGCAGUGGGAGCACGAGCAAGCGUGUGACUGCGUACCUUUUUGUAUAAUGGGUCAGCGACUUAUAUUCUGUAGCAAGGUUAACCGAAUAGGGGAGCCGAAGGGAAACCGAGUCUUAACUGGGCGUUAAGUUGCAGGGUAUAGACCCGAAACCCGGUGAUCUAGCCAUGGGCAGGUUGAAGGUUGGGUAACACUAACUGGAGGACCGAACCGACUAAUGUUGAAAAAUUAGCGGAUGACUUGUGGCUGGGGGUGAAAGGCCAAUCAAACCGGGAGAUAGCUGGUUCUCCCCGAAAGCUAUUUAGGUAGCGCCUCGUGAAUUCAUCUCCGGGGGUAGAGCACUGUUUCGGCAAGGGGGUCAUCCCGACUUACCAACCCGAUGCAAACUGCGAAUACCGGAGAAUGUUAUCACGGGAGACACACGGCGGGUGCUAACGUCCGUCGUGAAGAGGGAAACAACCCAGACCGCCAGCUAAGGUCCCAAAGUCAUGGUUAAGUGGGAAACGAUGUGGGAAGGCCCAGACAGCCAGGAUGUUGGCUUAGAAGCAGCCAUCAUUUAAAGAAAGCGUAAUAGCUCACUGGUCGAGUCGGCCUGCGCGGAAGAUGUAACGGGGCUAAACCAUGCACCGAAGCUGCGGCAGCGACGCUGAUGCGUUGUUGGGUAGGGGAGCGUUCUGUAAGCCUGUGAAGGUGUGCUGUGAGGCAUGCUGGAGGUAUCAGAAGUGCGAAUGCUGACAUAAGUAACGAUAAAGCGGGUGAAAAGCCCGCUCGCCGGAAGACCAAGGGUUCCUGUCCAACGUUAAUCGGGGCAGGGUGAGUCGACCCCUAAGGCGAGGCCGAAAGGCGUAGUCGAUGGGAAACAGGUUAAUAUUCCUGUACUUGGUGUUACUGCGAAGGGGGGACGGAGAAGGCUAUGUUGGCCGGGCGACGGUUGUCCCGGUUUAAGCGUGUAGGCUGGUUUUCCAGGCAAAUCCGGAAAAUCAAGGCUGAGGCGUGAUGACGAGGCACUACGGUGCUGAAGCAACAAAUGCCCUGCUUCCAGGAAAAGCCUCUAAGCAUCAGGUAACAUCAAAUCGUACCCCAAACCGACACAGGUGGUCAGGUAGAGAAUACCAAGGCGCUUGAGAGAACUCGGGUGAAGGAACUAGGCAAAAUGGUGCCGUAACUUCGGGAGAAGGCACGCUGAUAUGUAGGUGAAGUCCCUCGCGGAUGGAGCUGAAAUCAGUCGAAGAUACCAGCUGGCUGCAACUGUUUAUUAAAAACACAGCACUGUGCAAACACGAAAGUGGACGUAUACGGUGUGACGCCUGCCCGGUGCCGGAAGGUUAAUUGAUGGGGUCAGCGCAAGCGAAGCUCUUGAUCGAAGCCCCGGUAAACGGCGGCCGUAACUAUAACGGUCCUAAGGUAGCGAAAUUCCUUGUCGGGUAAGUUCCGACCUGCACGAAUGGCGUAAUGAUGGCCAGGCUGUCUCCACCCGAGACUCAGUGAAAUUGAACUCGCUGUGAAGAUGCAGUGUACCCGCGGCAAGACGGAAAGACCCCGUGAACCUUUACUAUAGCUUGACACUGAACAUUGAGCCUUGAUGUGUAGGAUAGGUGGGAGGCUUUGAAGUGUGGACGCCAGUCUGCAUGGAGCCGACCUUGAAAUACCACCCUUUAAUGUUUGAUGUUCUAACGUUGACCCGUAAU
rnacentral:rRNA from 1 species